rnacentral:lncRNA from 10 species
UGCGGAGGCUCACCGCGAAGCCUCCUGGGAAAUGUAGUAUAUUCGUUAUUUUGUUUUAAGCAAACCUACACCAAGUUUCAAGGCUUCAAACUCCCUCGACAGUUUGGAAUCUUAUUUUGAAACAAUUCUAGAGUCCAUGCCAGUUGUCUUACAGGAAGUCGCAUAUCCUGGAUUGUCUGUUUAUUGCCUCAAGAUUUGAUUUAAGAAACAUUUUGGGCAAGAGCCCCACACAGAGGAUGUGGUGUGCAUCUUAGUAUGUUGCUGAUGUCAGGUAGCUAUUAGUGAUGCCUACACUAUGAAUUCAAUGAACACUUGUUGAAGAAAUGAUCUGGUGCCAGGCAAUCUCCUAAGGACUUGGGAGCUUGACUUCAAAUAGGAGAGAGACAGCUUAUAUAAUCUCCAGAGCCUCCAACAUUGUCCUAGGAGCAGAGUGGAAAAAUGCUUUGUAACAUGAAGGGAAGACUGAAGUGACAUAGCAAAUGGCCCAGCAGCAGCACAGAGGAGAGGGACAGACCCAGAGAAGGGUGAGGUCAAGAGGCUACAGCUGUUCCUCAGCCCCAACCCCCAGACUCACUUCGAUGAUCAUAACUUUUUGGCUGUUGCUUUGGGGAGGGGCAGGCAGCUUGGUGAAAUGCCUGUGACCCAGCUAAGCAUUCAGCUGGAAGACUUCGCAGCAAGGUGCCCAAGGAAACCCUCAGGACAGAGAGGCUGGCAAGUUCAAAGGGCAGCCUGCCAGUCAUUCCUCUGCUGGCCCGUGCCAAGGGUCUAGGCCAGAUUUGGGCCUGGGAGUAUCUAGGGAAAACAUCAAACUAUAGUUUUCACUGCCUUGGUUGUCACAUUUGCCUCCUUCUGUGGCUACCCUCCUUCCACCCCAAAUAAAGGCCAGGGAAAGAAGACAGGAAAAAAGUGAAAACUAAAGAGAAAAUUUUGCUUCAAAGAACUGGUUGUGUGGUUCCCAACUGUCCAUAUGGCACAGGAAAGUCUCAUCUGUG